rnacentral:misc_RNA from 1 species
GUGAGAUUGAAAACAAACCCGCAUGUUGUCGCAGUGUGCACGAACCCUCAAUGGGUGACGAUGGCUAGAUUGAACUGGGGAGGAGAUACUGAAACAUGUUGAUUUUCUGAAAUGUGUAUAGAGAGACUGACAAGGCCGAGCUUCAGACGUGACUGACAUGUUUGCGAUUAAAUUCGGGAACUGUUCCCCCCUGACAUUUCGUAGAUAUGAUGAGCAAGUGGUCACACUGAGAAGUGACUGAUCUUUGAUGGGCAUGCCAAGGCUAUUAGCCAUCGUAGUGUUUGUGGCAACAGCAGUGGGUGACAUCGCCGGGUCUACUUGCAGCUCAACGUGCACAUCUCAGAGGGACGUUCCCUGUGUGGUAAAGCAGCUGUCCUACCAUUGCCUGAAGCCAUCGGUCAAUGAGAAAGACUUUCCCAACAAGCCAAGGAACUUGACCUAUAGCCGAGAACUCAUCAAUGACACAUACAUCUUCCGUCUCAGCUGGCUCCUGCCUAAAGGAUAUUCCUACAGAGCAGUGAAAGGCUUCCUCCUUGAAGUACACCCCAUCAAUCACCCUAUAGAAUGCUACCACUUCAAUCUGUCUGCUGUCAACUGGACCAUGGUGGACGAUGUACAGCACGUGUGGUUCAGUCACUGUCUUCGCUACAGCGCCGCCAUGUCCAACACCCUGUUCAUCUCACUGUACAGUCUGCCCCGGGCAACCCAUGGGGUGGAGAGAGAGAGGGUCACCAUCCAGUACUCACACAUCAUGAGGAAACCAUCUUGGAACCCGAACAUCUCGCCACCCCAGACUCCCCGCGUGAUGUUGCUGUGACCUUUCACCCUCUGUUGCCAGGGCAGACUAUGUGUCUGUGUGUCUGGUGGAGGAGGUGAGGACUAAGCGGUGCUUCAUGGAGGCACGUGUGAACAAGCCAGAGAAUCACAAAAGGUUUGCUGAUGUUCCUUGCAACAAGACAUACAGAGUUUGGAUUCGUCCAUUCACUUCAGCUAAGAAAAGUUUGGAUGGCUGGAUCAAGGCUCCAGAUCCUUUCACCAUGCCCCUGCUCACUACCUGUCUCAUCACUUCCACGGCGGCCAUCGCGAGACUGUGGAGACACAACCAUCACCUGACAUCAUUCCAGUCAUCGCCAUAUGUACCCUUGUCCUGUGUCUCACAAUGGCAUCUCUCGUCUUCAUGUGGCUAACGUAGAGCAGGUGAGUUGCCCGGAUUAUCUU